CAAUGCACAGAAUCACAAAAGAACUAUCCCUGAACAAGAAGCCAGACCCUGGUCUCAGCUCCGCUACUGAUCAGCUCAUCAGCGGGGGCAAACCAUUUCCCACUCUGGGAAGACAAAUGGAAACUGGAAAUGGGUGGAAUAACUUAAGCAAUAUGCUGGCUCUAGGAAUCCAGGCCAAGGCCAAAGACAGUCACAAUUUGUAGUGCCUCUGAGCCACAAAGAACCAAUAGCACUUCUCGUUAACCUUUCUACAGAAAUUCAGAGCUCCUGGAGCCACAUGAUGAGGCCCACAGGUUCAUGCAGACUUUCUUGGUCUACUCCUGAGCCUCACAGCAUACCUGAGGCACCGCAAAUGUGCAGUUAUCUGCUGGAUCCUGGAAUCAGAAGAAUGGCCAUAUCCAGGGCAUAAAAUCCCACUUUCUCAGUAGCUGCCCAAGGACUCAGGUGGCCCAGCCCAGAGGUUCAGGGGAGCUGACAUCCUGCAAGACAAACUGUGACUCAUGGGGCCCAAGAGCCUGGGGAGAGCCAGGAAGCACACCUUUCUCCAUUCUUCCUGUUGAAUACGUCCCAGGUGUGGUGUUACUGUACCUUUUACCCAGAGAUGUCCCAUGGGAUGCCCAGAACCAUGGAUUGCAGUCUGGCAGUGGAGUGAGUAUAAGCCUCUAUAUAAACUCUGCUACAUGUGGGAGUAUGGACAUCUCUCUCAAGAGGAGCAUGGGAAGGAAGCGCAGCAGGGGCGCCAUCUAGGGACACUGCAAGGGCUUCAGGAAAGCCAUGACAUUGGAGUUGCCGGUGGUGGUGGUUAUGGUGGUGGUGAUGGUGGUGGUGGUGGUGGUGGUGGUUCUGUGGAGACUGGGGAAGGUAGGUGAAGAACAGCUGUGGAAGUCAAUGUCCCAAGACUAUACCUGGAGGAGUUGGGGAUGGCUUUAUACAUGGGGUGAGGCUUGAGAAAACAUGGCGCUCAUAAGGCCAAAAGACUUUGGUAGUGGUAAUAUUGGCUCACGUUUCCUUUCAGAUAGAUUGAAAACCAUGUGCAAAGGCAAAGGAGGUGAGAGAAAGCACUCAACCCCCAAGGAAAAUAGGCCGAGGCCAGAUCAAAAAGGUCUUUAAAUACGACACCAAAUGUCUCAACCUUCUUUCAGCUGAUGGUGUGGUGAGUGGUUCCAACACAAUACAUGCUUUGGCAACUAUUGUCACAUGCAGACAAUCUUGAGUCGCAUAACAUCUUGAC
rnacentral:lncRNA from 1 species